CCUACGGGGGGCAGCAGUGAGGAAUAUUGGUCAAUGGACGAGAGUCUGAACCAGCCAAGUAGCGUGAAGGAUGACUGCCCUAUGGGUUGUAAACUUCUUUUAUAUGGGAAUAAAAUGUUCCACGUGUGGGAUUUUGUAUGUACCAUAUGAAUAAGGAUCGGCUAACUCCGUGCCAGCAGCCGCGGUAAUACGGAGGAUCCGAGCGUUAUCCGGAUUUAUUGGGUUUAAAGGGAGCGUAGGUGGAUUGUUAAGUCAGUUGUGAAAGUUUGCGGCUCAACCGUAAAAUUGCAGUUGAAACUGGCAGUCUUGAGUACAGUAGAGGUGGGCGGAAUGCGUGGUGUAGCGGUGAAAUGCUUAGAUAUCACGAAGAACUCCGAAUGCGAAGGCAGUUCACUGGACUGCAACUGACACUGAGGCUCGAAAGUGUGGGUAUCAAACAGGAUUAGAUACCCCAGUAGUC
rnacentral:rRNA from 1 species